GAGGUAGGAGGAUUGCUUGAGCCUGGGAGGUUGAGGCUGCAGUAAGCUGUGAUCAUACCACUGCACUCCAGCCUGGGCAACAGAACAAGACCCUGU
rnacentral:miRNA from 1 species